UACCAGGCACCCCGAGUGGUCGGGACGUUUUAUUGGGCCUAAAGCAUCCGUAGCCGGUUCUACAAGUCUUCCGUUAAAUCCAACUGCUUAACAGGUGGGCUGCGGAAGAUACUAUAGAGCUAGGAGGCGGGAGAGGCAAGCGGUACUCGAUGGGUAGGGGUAAAAUCCGUUGAUCCAUUGAAGACCACCAGUGGCGAAGGCGGCUUGCCAGAACGCGCUCGACGGUGAGGGAUGAAAGCUGGGGGAGCAAACCGG
rnacentral:rRNA from 1 species